GGAAAAAUGAGUCAGUAUUCGAAAUCAACAUGUCUAACAUCAUCUGAAAAUAACUUUUACUUCUAAACAAGAAAUCACUUUAUCUAUUGGUAGCACAAUGCAGGUGAUAAGAAGUAGAAACUGCCACCGAGGCAGGUUAUGUGGCCUCAAGGAGUUAAUGUAUGUAAAACUAGAAGAGUGCCUGGCAAAUGGUUUGUCCUACGUCGGGACCCUCCUGGGCUAGCGCGCUUUAAGGUGAUGGCCAGAAGGUGGCGCUCUGCAUCAGUUCAUGGGGGCGGCCUGACUCCGGGGAAGGCAAACACACAAACCAAGGUGCCUGCUUUAAAUCCGCAAAGUAAAGGUCCUCUUAACCACUUGUCAUAAAACACCCUGAGACACCCGUCUUGGAAAAUCGAAGUGUCAAGCUCAGCAUCUUUGCCACAUUUCAAACUAGGUAAUUACCUUCUCUCCCAAAGGGAAUCUGCUUUAUGUAUUUGUGUCCUUUCUAGGUUACAAGUUUCCCAAAGGCAAUGAUCUUGCCUUCCACUCACUCCAUACAAUGCUGAAGUGAAAUGCAUAUUGUACAAUAACAAUUUAAUUAUUCUACAUUCCUCUGAGCUACAUGAUGACCUGUUACAUAAUUGCCAGUAAUAUAGAAAUGUGCCUGCCUCAUACAAACCCUUGCAAUACACAGAAGUUUUUAUUUGACCUAAGAGUAAAUUGCUUAUUUGCUUCUCCUUUAGAAAAGAAAAAGCAGAGCAUUUCCCCGCCAUCCCAAAUUAUAAGUCGUAAUCAAAUAAACAACACUGUAUUUCAGUCUGUCAUUUUUAUUAAGCC
rnacentral:lncRNA from 10 species